rnacentral:rRNA from 1 species
GAUGAACGCUGGCGGUCUGCUUAACACAUGCAAGUCGAACGGGAUCUUCGGAUCUAGUGGCGGACGGGUGAGUAACACGUGAGAAUCUGCCCUUAGGAGGGGGAUAACAGUUGGAAACGACUGCUAAUACCCCAUAUGCCGAGAGGUGAAAAGUAAUUCGCCUGAGGAUGAGCUCGCGUCUGAUUAGCUAGUUGGUAGUGUAAUGGACUACCAAGGCGACGAUCAGUAGCUGGUCUGAGAGGAUGAUCAGCCACACUGGGACUGAGACACGGCCCAG